UACAGAGGUCCCAAGCGUUGUUCGGAUUCACUGGGCGUAAAGGGUGCGUAGGUGGUCGGGUAAGUCUGGUGUGAAAUCUCCGAGCUCAACUCGGAAAUGGCAUUGGAUACUAUUCGGCUAGAGGAUUGGAGGGGGGACUGGAAUACUUGGUGUAGCAGUGAAAUGCGUAGAUAUCAAGUGGAACACCAGUGGCGAAGGCGAGUCUCUGGACAAUUCCUGACACUGAGGCACGAAAGCGUGGGGAGCAAACAGG
rnacentral:rRNA from 1 species